GGUCGGAUAUUAUGUAUUGUGAUGUCUGAUGACUUUGAGUCGGACAUUAUGUAUUGUGAUGUCUGAUGACUUUGAGUUUGGGUCGGACAUUAUGUAUUGUGAUGUCUGAUGACUUUGAGGUCGGACAUUAUGUAUUGUGAUGUCUGAUGACUUUGAGUUUGGGUCGGACAUUAUGUAUUGUGAUGUCUGAUGACUUUCAGUCGGACAUUAUGUAUUGUGAUGUCCGAUGACUUUCAGUCGGACAUUAUGUAUUGUGAUGUCUGAUGACUUUGAGUUUGGGUCGGACAUUAUGUAUUGUGAUGUCUGAUGACUUUGAGUUUGGGUCAGACAUUAUGUAUUGUGAUGUCCGAUGACUUUGAGUUUGGGUCGGACAUUAUGUAUUGUGAUGUCUGAUGACUUUGAGUCGACAUUAUGUAUUGUGAUGUCUGAUGACUUUGAUUUGGUCGGACAUUAUGUAUUGUGAUGUCUGAUGACUUUGAGUUUGGGUCGGACAUUAUGUAUUGUGAUGUCUGACUUGAGUUUGGGUCGGACAUUAUGUAUUGUGAUGUCUGAUACUUUGAGUUUGGGUCGGACAUUAUGUAUUGUGAUGUCUGAUGACUUUGAGUUUGGGUCGGACAUUAUGUAUUGUGAUGUCUGAUGACUUUGAGUUUGGGUCGGACAUUAUGUAUUGUGAUGUCCGAUGACUUUCAGUUUGGGCCGGACAUUAUGUAUUGUGAUUUGAUGUCUGAUGACUUUGGUAGUUUGGCUUGGAAAUAAUUAUGAAUGCAGACAAAAUUAAUAUCAGCUCAAUUUGAAAACCACGCACUUGCAGAUUACACAUUUCCAGUUCACUUUUUAUACAUUACUCUGAUUCUUCAUUUAACAUACGAGCCUCUUGUCCUGGACUAGGGUGCAUUCUGAUUUACGUUGGACAAAGUCAGACACCAAUUCACUCAAUUGUGAUGUCUGAUGACUUCGAGUUUGAGUCGGACAUUAUGUAUUGUGAUGUCUGAUGACUUUGAGUUUGAGUCGGACAUUAUGUAUUGUGAUGUCUGAUGACUUUGAGUUUGGG